rnacentral:lncRNA from 1 species
CCACCGAACCACACCUCCUAUCCCCUGGCUACCCCUCCCACCUCCAGAGCUCUCGCCACGAGCUGUAUCCGGUGGCCGCCACCCCUCAUCGCCCUUGGCUAGGCUUCCCUCAAUCUCCCACGGUCCCACCGCCCCCAGCGCUCCUCCCGGCGGCGGAUCCGGGCCGGCAACUAAUCCAUCCUCCCCUGCGACUGAUUGCCUCCAGUACCCUCCCCUAUUUUCUUUGUAUCGCCGACCAUGGCGCCCAUGGCGACCAAGAGGCUGGAAGGGGUCUCGUGGACCUGAGAGUGCGAGAGGAGCAGCAGCGCCGGCGGUGACGCCCCAGGUAGACUUUAGUGUGGUGCUCUGCUCUAUGGAUUCCUCUUCCAUGGAGUUCAUAGUUUUUGCAUUUUUGUUUCAGAUUUUUGAUGUGCAAAAAUACAAUGCAGUGCAGUUCUUUCUUCUCUUUGAGUUUUGGUUCUCUGGAUGAUGUUUGCAUCCAGGUUGUAAAAAUUUGCCUGCGUCAAGUGCAAUUCAGAACUUACAAGUUCGGCUGUCAGUUUCCUGUGCAGUUCAUUACAGUAGAAUUUUUUUGUGUUCAAUUCAGUUAUCUUUGCUUUGCUCUAUGUCGUGAGGCUGCAAUCCCGCUAUCUCCUGCUUACUGGCGUCGCCCCAGUCGAUCCAGGUAGUUGGGUGGGGAUUGGGUGUGUCACCGGGCAUGCUGAUGACGAGUUCCCGCCGUGAGCUGGUGCUCUGCUCCUCAUUGCUGGUGGUCGUGCUACAGCGACGUGCAGUUCGCCGGGCUGUGUCGUGCGGUUCGCCGGGCCGUGGACUGUGGUUUACCGGCCGGCAGCCUACGGUUCGCCGGGCAGUGCGUGUUUUGCUUUGGCUAGGAAUUGGCUCACCAGAUCACUCUUUCAACAAGAGCUAGCUAGACGUGCAUGACUUUCAUGCGUUUAUGUUUCGGGCAGCAGAAUUAAUGAGCACUCACAAAGGACUAGCCAUCAAGGUGUUUUUCUGCGCAUAUGUCGUUCAAGUGGAAGAUAUGGGGCACUGUGCCUUUUCCAACUCCUUCCGAUCUACUGAUCAAGUCAAGAGAAUAAGAGCAGUGGAGAUUACAUUUUCGUGCUAAACUUUUCGGUCAAUGCCUAAUAUGUGUGCUUUUCUUCCUAAUGGUGUCAUGCUUCGAUUUGAUUUCUUACAUGAGGAAGUGAAUAGCAGUGAUUAUUGCACAUGCUUAUACAUUCAAAUGGAUUGCUAGGUUAAAUGGUAUAGCGUUCAAAGAUCUUAGUUUUUCUGAAAGGUCUAAUAAUUAGUCAGUUUACUAAACUGCUGAACUGCUUCUUUGGAUCUGAAUUUGCUGAAUUGUCGAACGACCUAAGAAUUAUUCAGUUUACUAAACUGCUAAACUGCUUCUUUGGGUCUGAAUUUUCUGAAUUGCUUCUUUGUCUCUAAAUUGCUAGGUACCCUGGAAUAUAUGGAAGCGCGGAAACUCCAAGCUCUUCCGGGAUGUUUUUGAGGAAUUGCACAUUACUACUAGCAAGAUUGAUGAUGAUCUUACGUUGUAGUCCAACAGGUAUUCAAAUGAAAUUAAGAAAGACAUCCUUAGAGGCUGGAGCACUUCAUUUGUGUGUAUAAAGUGUUUCAGGCCAGUGUAAGCCUGUUGUAGUCCCUGUAAUACAAAGGUAGUAAGUGACGCAUCGCCCUCUCUGAACUGAAUAACUAUGGCAUCAAUGAGAUGCUUCGACCCAUGCUGGCCGUCGUUCCCCACCACUGAGGUUUCGUUUCCCCCUUCUUUCCUUCUUCAAAUCUUCAGUCCAAUUGUAUGAACAGAAACAAACCUUCUCUUAUGUUUGUAGAUGAAGAAGGAACAGCUGGCUUACCAUUCACUUAAGCAUCCAGAGCCUCGGCGCCCAACUAUUGAAGAAGGCUCAUACUGAUGGAGUUGUCCCAAACUAGGCACAUACCUAGCCCCUUUCCGCUCCUGGAGUCCUUGCAUGCCUUUAAAGCAUGUAAUCUUAGUCAUUGGACAUUUUAUAUGGUUGAUUCUAAAUUCGUGUGGUGGUUGCAGAAUGUCAUAGCGCAUGUGUUGCCGUUGUCUCUCUCAAUAAGUCCCUCGCUGGUGGUUACACACACGCGCCAACGAACUGCUCGGCCAGGGGAGAAAACAGAGAGUGGUGUUCGGUUAGAAUAGAGGAGGACACACGGUUAGGUUUCAGGAACCAAUGCCUUCGUAUUUUUUUCUCUUUCAACUGAGUGCUGGCUAAGUAAGCACAACCCUCUUAUUACAAGGUUAGAUCAACUCAACACAAGCAAUAACAACUUGAAAUGAGCUAGGUUGGCCAAGUCUAGACAUUAUGGAUUUGGUAAUGUAUAUAUAUUGGAAAAUGAUAGCAUGGUCUUUAUAUGGUUGUUUUUUGUUAGCAACACUGUAAGGUCUUCCUCGGCAGUGCAUAUACUAAUGAUUACUGCUCAAGCAUGUAGAUGAUACAUUUUUGGCAACUGGAUCAAUAACCAUGUCAUUACUAUGCAAAAAGGAUGUACAUUCAUAGACUAAUACGCCUACAGUGGUUUGGAUUCUUAUGCAUUUAUUACCCCUCCGCACAUAUAACUUGUGCCUCUUGCUUCUUAAGAUUAUUGCCUGGUAUGGUGUCCAAUAAAUUCAGAGAUUGCCUCUGCAGUGGUCUGUAGUUACAAAGAUGGUAAUUUAGAAAAACAUAGAUGAUGACUAGCUAUUGAGAAGCAUAAUAAUGUUUUUAUUUCUUCUUCAUGACAAUCAAGGUCAAACAAAUAUUUUCAUGUUUAUCAGAAUGAAAUAAAAUUGAUGGACAGUACCACUCCAUUGAUAACUAGAGCUAGCAGUGUGUUCACUUAGAUGGUUACAUUUUCUUUUUAGAAGAAUGUACAAUGCUAGAAUUAGUCUGUGCAUUAGAAUUAUAAUCGUUAGUGAUGAAUUACCUCAUAAAGUGUUAGAUUAUUAUCUAAGAAUCGUACAUCAACUAGACGCGAG